rnacentral:rRNA from 1 species
AGAGUUUGAUCCUGGCUCAGGAUGAACGCUGGCGGCGUGCCUAACACAUGCAAGUCGAGCGGAGUUAGUUCCUUCGGGAGCUAACUUAGCGGCGGACGGGUGAGUAACACGUGGGUAACCUGCCCUUGACUGGGGAAUAACUGGUAGAAAUACCAGCUAAAACCUCAUAAGCUAACGGAAUGGCAUCAUUCAGUUAGAAA